CGGUUUGAUCAGUCUUCCGGGAAAUCUGACAGCUCAACUGUUAGGCUUCUGGGGGAUACUGUCAGACUUGGAACCGGGAGAGGUAAGAGGUACUACAGGGGUAGGAGUGAAAUCCUGUAAUCCUUGUGGGACCACCAGUGGCGAAGGCGUCUUACCAGAACGGGUUCGACGGUGAGGGACGAAAGCUGGGGGCACGAACCGGAUUAGAUACCCGGGUAGUCCCAGCCGUAAACGAUGCUCGCUAGGUGUCUGGGAUGGUGCGACCGUUUCAGGUGCCGCAGGGAAGCCGUGAAGCGAGCCACCUGGGAAGUACGGCCGCAAGGCUGAAACUUAAAGGAAUUGGCGGGGGAGCACUACAACGGGUGGAGCCUGCGGUUUAAUUGGACUCAACGCCGGAAAACUCACCUGGGGCGACAGCAAUAUGUAGGUCAGGCUGAAGGUCUUACCUGAAUCGCUGAGAGGAGGUGCAUGGCCGUCGUCAGUUCGUACUGUGAAGCAUCCUGUUAAGUCAGGCAACGAGCGAGACCCGUGCCCACUGUUGCCAGCAUAUCCUUCGGGAUGAUGGGUACUCUGUGGGGACCGCCGCUGCUAAAGCGGAGGAAGGUGCGGGCUACGGUAGG
rnacentral:rRNA from 1 species